GACAGAGGGUGCAAACGUUGUUCGGAAUUACUGGGCGUAAAGCGCGUGUAGGCUGCUUGGAAAGUCGGAUGUGAAAGCCCUGGGCUUAACCCAGGAGGUGCACUCGAAACUUCCGAGCUUGAGUUCUGGAGAGGGUGGCGGAAUUCUCGGUGUAGAGGUGAAAUUCGUAGAUAUCGAGAGGGACACCGGUGGCGAAGGCGGCUACCUGGACAGAAACUGACGCUGAGACGCGAAAGCGUGGGGAGCAAACAGG
rnacentral:rRNA from 1 species